ensembl:lncRNA
CCCGUGCCCCUGUGCUACCUGCCUCGUGCCCCCAGCCCCCGAGCUGGACCCCUCCGGCUGCCUCGUGAGCUCUCCCGGCCCUGCGCCGUCCUCCCCCGCCAGGGCCGUUUGCUCCCUCCAGAGCUGGCAAGCAUAAUUGCUGCUUUCCACAGUGACAUAAAAAUCUAAGAGGCACAAUCAAUACAGCGCACACACACAUCAUCGUCCUUCAUUGCAAACGAUAAAAGCGUAAACAGCAGGGGUGGCGGCAACUCCCGAGGCUGCGGUGGGGGCAGGGCGGACUGCCACAGUCUCCUCGCCCGUCCCUCCCCUCUGGGGCACCGUCUCACUCUGGGGAGCUGCCGCUCAUUAAAGCACAGUUGGGAAACGGUUUUCUCUCUCUUUUCCUUCCAGAUGCAGCAACCCCAGUCUCUGUAACGCGACUUCAGAAAUCCAAUUUGUCUUUCCUUUCACUAUUUUAAAUGUUUUUUCUUGCUUCCCUGCAUCUCCCCAAAUACAGUGCUAGAAGCGCCUUUCUGGAGACAGAAGGACUUUCCUGGGUCUUGUUUGUCACAAGCCCACAAACUGACCUCAAAGGGGAGACCAGCCCUUGAUGGCCAGCUUCUUUGCUCCAUCCAGUCUGCCACCCACAGCUUGCCUUAGAAUAUGCGCAGAAACCAUCACACCCCAGCUCUCAGACUUGCAGCGACUUCUUCAAACUAGUUACUUAAUGAACGUCAUCCGGUUCCGAUUCAGCCUUGUCAUAUUCUCAUUUGCAAAAGCCAAUCUGCUUUACGAUUCCAACCUCUGGCUAGAAACCGCUCCCAAUUUCAUGUCAUCCAUAAACUUGAUGAACGAUUAGCUUGCUCCUCUGCAGUCAUUCAUUUAUUUAUUCAACUAACAUGUAGUGAGUGCCUACUGGAUGCUGGGUGCUAGACACAGAGUUAAAGGAGACGCAGGUCUUAUCCUUGAGAAACUCCUAUGCUGGCGGUGGAGCAGACGUGGAAAUGGUUUGUUGCAGGUGUCCUAUGCUCAACCAGGGCAGAGGAUGAGAGCGGCCUCCUCAGGGGAGGGGCGGUGUAAGCUGGCCUUAAGACGCUGGAGGGGGAGACCUUCCCAGCUGGGGAAGAAAUGGUGUCCUAGUUCGAGAGACCAGAAUGUGCACAAGCAAGGAGUUCUGGGUGGUGACGGGAGAAGAAAUGUACUGAUAUCUAUAAACGUGAGGGGCAAUGAGCCUCAGGACAGGAUCCAGCUGGGACCGGGAGGCCUGUCUCUUGGCUCUUCCCGUUUCUGCUUCAUCCUGAGGCUCCAUCUGGUAGCAAAACGGCUUUGAGCAGCCUCAGGGUUACAUCCUCCCAGGUUCAAUUCAUGGAAAAGAAAGUCUGCUCUCCUCUGACAGACUCGGCACUGGGUCUCCCUGGAUCACAUGGUCUCCCCGACCAAUCAGAAUGGCUGGGGGAAUACAGGCACUUUGGCCAGGUCUGAGGCACGUGGUGUCCCUGGACCUGGGGUGGAGUCAGCUGCCUUUGAAGCCCUGGGCUGAAGGGAGGGUGGGGAUUCCCAGGGGAAAGUUGGGUGGUGUUGGUGCUGAGAAGGGUGCACAGGUGCAGGGCUGCCGGAACACAGAUGGCCACUAUGUGGCCACUGGCGCGCUGUGGCACUCUGUCUCCCCAGGUGGUGGAAGGGGAGCCCCGGGGGUCCUUUCUGCGUGGUGGGUACAGGGAGUCACUCACAGGCACUCCGAGGGUGAGGUCGGCCGCGUGAGGCCUCCUCGCUUCCACGCUCUUCUAACUGUCUGCAGGUGGGUUUGGGUGGACUUCCUGCUUUCCCAAAUGCUGGAUUUAAGCCAGUCAGCAUGUAAUCUCCAGCCAGUCCUCUGUCCUCAGCCUCCCCACUCGUCAAGCUCUUUUCCUGCCCUUCCGCCAAACUGAACCUCCAGCCAUUUCGGGAACUCCACGGUGGCCACCGGCACCUUCUAACCAGAACUCGGCACGGGAGGCUCAGCUGGAGCCAGGGCUUGCCUGCUCUAAUGGGCCUCUCAUUGGCACAUCCUGAGCACUGCAGCCUUCCAUCAGGACUUAAGACGGAGUGGUGGGCUCCUCGGUAGAUAGGUAGGGUCCCCGAGGAUAGGUUCCUUGGGGACAGACAGAUCUAGGUUCUAGUCUGUAGGGACCAGGAUUAAGUUCAGCUGUGGGUGACAGACACCACCCCGAGGAGAAAAACAGUGCCCCAAAGACAGAAGUUUAUUUCUCUCUCAAACAAUCAAGAACCUAGAAGGUGGAAGAGAAGUUUCUCAGAGUCAAUGUCAAUCAUUCUUUCUUGCUGCUCAGCUCUCUUGUUUAUUUUUAUUUCUUUUUUAAAGAUCAGCACCUGAGCUAACAACUGUUGCCAAUCUUCUUUUUUUCUUCUUCUUCUUCUUCUCCCCGAAGCCCCCAGUACAUAGUCGUAUACCCUAGUUGUGAGUGCCUCUGGUUGAGCUCUGUGGGACGCCGCCUCAGCGUGGCCUGAUGAGUGGUGUCAUGUCCGUGCCCAGGAUCCGAACCAGCGAAACCCUGGGCCGCCGAAGCAGAGCGCACGAACUUAACCACUCGGCCACGGGCCAGCCCCAGCUCUCUUCUUCAAGUGGCUUCCUCUUCAUGGUCCAUGGUGGCUGUUUGGUUCCAGCCCCUAGGAGAAGAAGGGGACAAAGAAGCGCAUGUUCUCCCUUUCAGGACACUCCCAGAACUGCACGCUACACUUGUGCUUACAGCUCACAGUCAGAAUUGAGUCACGUGGCUAAAAUGGCCCCCAGGGAGGCUGGGAAGAGAGUCUCGAUUCCAGGCAGCCAUGGGCCUUAUUAAAGGUGAGAGGAGGGGAGAAUGGAUAUUGGGGGACAACCAGCAGUCUAUGCUCAGACUCCCCAAAUGCAUUCACAUCCAUGAUCUCACCAACAGCUCUGGGAGAGGGACCUUGUAUUUCCCAUGUUACAGUGGAUCGCCCACGUUCCAGCAGCCGCGUUCACCGUGUGACAGGUUGGGAAGCACUGUCACACCAGCUUCAACACCCCUGUGAGCCCGAGCUGGGGGAGGAGAGUCACCCCACAGAUCCGACGAGGAAAGCCAGACUCAGAGAAGGCGAGGCCUUGCCCAUGCCUCCAUCGAUACUGGAAAAUGAGCUCGGACUUCGGAGAGGCGUGCAGUCUACUAUCUACUGCUUGCUGAAUGGCCUCACCCCUGCAAUCCUUAGUUUCCUCGUCUGAAUAACAGAGAGUUGCUGGGCUGACCAUGGUUAAGAGCUUGAAGUCUGGAUUCGGAUUCCCUGGGUUAAAGUCCUGGAACUACUUCUUAUUAGCACAGGAAGGCGUUCCCAUGGCAACCUCCUGGCGACACAAAACAGCCAUUCCUCCCAGAAUGGGCAGCCUUCUUCCAGUCUCCUGGAGAAGCCACAGCAGUGGAGCCCCGCAGAGCCCUUAGCACUCUGGACAGAAGACCACAGACCGCGGGCAGCCGCCUCUCUAACUGGCCCGUCCCAGGGCUUCGCUCUGGAGGAUGCGGCUGGAUGGGAGUUUAUUCACUUUAAUGUAUAUUUAUCGAGGGCCUGUGAUAACACACAAGUGCUGGCUGGGGACCCAGCAAUGGAGAAGACAGAUAGAGCUUGCCCUCAGGGCCUAAAAUUCUAGUUGGCUUCUAUUCAAGAAAAGGGAAAAGGAACAAAACCAUUUCAGCCAGUGCCAAGCUCUGAGAAGGGAGUGAAACAGGGCCACACAGAGAGGGAGACUGAGGAGGGGCCAGGAGGCCCUUGUGGAGAUGCCGUCUGCGCUUGAUCCAGGACUCUAUCAAUGUGACCAGUCUUUCCAUGUUGGAUCUGCCUUGAAACAGUCUCCAUUCUCAGCAGGCUCUCCCCUCCUGGUUGGAGGAUGGCUGCCAGAAGAUUCCAACGCCACCCGCUUCUUUAUUCAUGUCCCGUGGGAAAGAUUCCCAGCAUUGAAUCUCUUUGGCCCUGAUCAUGUUGACAUGGGUCACGUGCUCCUUUAUUAAUUAACCUGUCACUGUGUGAUAGGAAAUGCUGAUUGGCUAGGCCAGCCUGGCUCAACCCUUAAGCUGCAUGUGGGGCCAAUUCUAGCCAGAUGCAUGGCUGGGAAAUUUGGGAUUCUCUGAGAAAUGGGGAGGGGAGGAAACAGACACUGUAGAAGCAACAAG